UCCGCAGUCCUCACCUGCGCCAUCUUCCCUUCCGGCCUUCCGGGGCCUCCUCAGCGGCCAGCGUCCAUGCCCAUGCUGUGCGGGUGUCGCUCUCCCUCUCUCUGUCCAACCCAACCUCCGCAACGCCAUUUCCCAUGAUCAACUGUACUACGAAGAACCACAAGCACCACGACGCUGCCUAUUUGCUUCCAAUUUGUCACAACCUACCUACGGAAUGCUCAGAUGCGGCCUAUUUGCUUUGCAUUUGUCCUGAAUCUUGGCCAAGGCUUGUGGCCCUGCGGGCUGACAGUGCUCGAAUUGCGCCAGCAGGUCCACGCCGACAUUGUGAGGUGCAGAUGCAAGUCCAUUGACAUCUAGCAGAACUCACUGAACCCUGAUCGAGGUAGCAACCGCUGAGGCGAUCUGGUGGUCGCGCAUAAGGUGUUUGAUGGAAUGAGGGAGAGGAAUGUGGUUUAUUCAAACAGCCCUAUUCCGACACGUGUCAGUAGGGGUUAGAGAGUCGAAGAGAGGAAGAAGAAAGGAGACCCAUUGAUUGCAAGAUUUGGUCACUGCGGGCAGGGAAGGGAGAAGAGAAGAUGGUAGCGGGGGAUCGAUUGACAGGGUUAUGUAUCAGAAGCAGAAGAGCAAACUGCAGCAUGUAUGAAGGACUUACAGCUACAGAUCCAUAGAAACAGAAGAAUAGUCACCGGUGGUAGCUGCAGAGAAGCCACUCCCCCUUCCAACAAUCGUCGCCGGUUCACCAUCAUCGACGGUUAUUGCUUCUGCGGCUACGUCGAGUGUGCACCUCAGAAAUGGCACCGGACGUCCCUGUUUAAAUAGCUCAGGGAAGAGCUGCAUACGAAGAUGUCCUCUUUCUCUGUGUAGUAUUUCUUUGGAAACAAAGUAGAUAUUUGUCCCUGAAUCCCUGAUGCAGUUAUGAUGUGCACGGCAUGUGUAUCAACUAUCAGUUUUUCUUUGAUACAGACUCCCUGUUAUAUAUUGCAAUUACGAGAGAAUAAAUUGGAACAGGAUGAAACCA